UGGGGGUGGGAGCUAUGGACUCCUCGGCAACCUUCGCUAUGGACAAACCCUUCGCCCCCAGCGCCGUGCGCGGUGCGGAGCCUCCCGAAAACCCUCAAAGCCGGAAAAACUUCAGCGUGAGCCAUCUCCUCGACCUGGAGGAGGUGGCGGCCGGCAUGAACGGGACCCCCCCGGCCGGUGCUCAGCCCGCCGGAGGAACCAGGGCGGCAGCGGAGCCGUCGGGAGGCAGCAGCGGCAGCGAAGCGGCGCCCCAGGACGGUGAGAGCUUGAGCCCAAGCUGCGGGACGGCCAAGAGGAAGAAGAAGCAGAGGAGGAACCGCACCACCUUCAACAGCAGCCAGCUGCAGGCUCUGGAGAGGGUCUUCGAGAGGACGCACUACCCUGACGCCUUCGUGCGGGAAGAGCUGGCAAGGAGGGUCAACCUCAGCGAGGCCAGAGUCCAGGUCUGGUUUCAGAACCGGAGAGCCAAGUUUCGCCGCAAUGAGAGGGCAAUGCUGGCCAACAGAUCAGCAUCGCUCCUCAAAUCCUACAGCCAGGAAGCAGCCAUUGAGCAGCCCAUGGCACCACGGCCCACUGCAUUGACCCCAGAAUAUCUCUCCUGGACCAGCACCUCCCCGUACAGCACUGUGCCCUCCUACAGCUCCAGUGGGACUGCGACGCCCACCCAAGGGGUGAACAUGGCCAACAGCAUCGCCAGCCUGCGCCUCAAAGCCAAAGAGUUCAGCCUUCAUCAGAACCAGGUGCCAACUGUGAACUGACCAGGGCAAAGCCUACUCCAUGGCCUCAUCCAGGAUACAGCGUGGAGCUCCUGCGCCCAUCCAGGACAAAUCCACUGCCCACCCAACCCAUAUGCCACUCAUCCAAUGUCUCAGCACCUCUCCUCUCCUCUUCCCUUUUGAAGGUAGAGUCGGUCCCAGGCCGAAGUGGCACAUAAUUAUAGCCACAUAUGGAGCAAACUUGGUUAGAACUUGCUUUUCCGUGCACCCUUAUAAUAAAGGCUAUAUAUACACACACAUACCCCCCACACACUCAUCGAGGACAAACAGACUUGCCAAGGGAACAAGAAUUUGCUUCCAAACAUGGAAGGAUCUUGGACCAGUGGAUUUGACCAAUUUGGGUAUCGCGCCCAGAGAGCCAAAGAGUUAUUGGGUCUCCUCCUCCCGCAGGGACAGCAUGCGAUGGUGGGAGGAUCAUGAACCCCCUUUCCGUUGGGCUGCGACUCGUGGCACUCAACCACGCAUACCGAAGCCAACCCACACAUUUGUUUCUUUGUGCAUCGCCAGCCAUGGCGCUUGGGAGAGACUUUGGGAAGCUGAUGGCUCGCCCCUGUAUGGGCAGUCCUCGGCUGCCCUCCCUGUACCACGCUGCCUGCAUUUAGGAAUUGCCUAUGUCAAUGGCGUCAGGUUUUGCUUCUUCCCAGAGGGGCGAGGAGGGCUGGAACAUCUCAACAGGCUUGCUUGGAGGCUGUGAGCUCUCCCAUGAGCCGGGGGGAGCAGUGCUGGUCCCCAAACAGGCACCGCUGCCCUGGCUCAGUGGGUUUGCCAGCAAUUCUGCAGAGCCCCAGGUCAUUGAACCAUCCCAGGGAAAGAGAAAAUUGGAAAAAGCUGUUGGGUUUCAGCUGAGUAGGCGGCUCCCAGUGCUUUGUGCCAACGGCAAAGCAGGCUUCGCCUUCCGGAGGCACAGCCUCCCCAUCGGCAGCUCCACAGAUGUGUGUGGGGAUCUGGGGCUGGCGACUCCAUAGGGGUGGGCUUUUUUGGUUUUGCAGAAAGGAAGUGGUUUCCCCCUCAUCCCACCCUGCCGUGCAGCCUAAUGAGGUUGCAAAGUGGAAUGUUCAGGGGAUGGAUGCAGGGCGGGCAAUCUUGCCUCAGGCUUACACCACGCCAGUCCUUCACCCAUGGGACUGAGCCGAAGAGAGACGCACCCUCCACCUUCCCCUGCUGAUACCGCGGCACGGGGAGAGGAGCCAGAACGAUGGAGGUUUUACCUGUGGACAAAGCCCUCUGAAAACCAGACCACCCUUUCCUACCUGCUGCAAAGGUCCACCAGCCAAGCAUGGGGACACCACCAGCUCAAGACAGGUGGCCUGGACAGGAGGCACCAGCCCUGUUUACCUAAAAGGGCUUAGCCCCGCCAGGGAUUGUAGUGGUCGAACCAAGGACAGAUACAGCAAUUGCUAAGGUGCUUCCUCCAGAUGAACACCCUCCAAUACAUGAUGCCAAGGGCUCUCACAGCAGCAGCG